rnacentral:rRNA from 1 species
UACGUAGGGGGCGAGCGUUGUCCGGAUUUAUUGGGCGUAAAGAGCUCGUAGGCGGUUCGAUAAGUCGGACGUGAAAUCUCCACGCUCAACGUGGAGGGGCCGUUCGAUACUGUCGUGACUCGAGUCCGGUAGGGGAGUGUGGAAUUCCCGGUGUAGCGGUGAAAUGCGCAGAGAUCGGGAGGAACACCCGUAGCGAAGGCGGCACUCUGGGCCGGUACUGACGCUGAGGUGCGAAAGCGUGGGGAGCAAACAGG